AAAGGAAUAGACGGGGGCCCGCACAAGCGGUGGAGCAUGUGGUUUAAUUCGAUGCAACGCGAAGAACCUUACCUACUCUUGACAUCCAGAGAAUUUGCUAGAGAUAGCUUAGUGCCUUCGGGAACUCUGAGACAGGUGCUGCAUGGCUGUCGUCAGCUCGUGUUGUGAAAUGUUGGGUUAAGUCCCGUAACGAGCGCAACCCCUAUCCUUAUUUGCCAGCGAGUUAAGUCGGGAACUCUAAGGAGACUGCCGGUGACAAACCGGAGGAAGGUGGGGAUGACGUCAAGUCAUCAUGGCCCUUACGAGUAGGGCUACACACGUGCUACAAUGGUCGGUACAGCAGGUUGCUAACCCGCGAGGGGGCGCUAAUCCGUCAAAACCGAUCGUAGUCCGGAUCGCAGUCUGCAACUCGACUGCGUGAAGUCGGAAUCGCUAGUAAUCGCGGAUCAGAAUGCCGCGGUGAAUACGUUCCCGGGCCUUGUACACACCGCCCGU
rnacentral:rRNA from 1 species